rnacentral:tRNA from 1 species
GGUUGUGGCUCAGUGGUACAGCACUCACCUCACACGUGUGAGACCCUGGGUUCGAUGCUCAGCAGCACA